GGGCCUCAGUGCUUCAGUUCGUGGCCUGGCAUUUUGUCUAUAAGGAAGGCCUUUGAAGGGAAAUCAAAUAGGAAGAGGAUGAUAGCUGGCUCACAUGUCCUUGCCACAUGGGAGGAAGAGUGUCUUCAUCUCUGCAUCCCUAGUGCAACAGAGCAUGAUAAAAAUUCAAUAAAUAUUUAUUGCAGAGUCUUGAUGUCUUUUGGGAAAGGAACUCUAUGGUUACCUUUACUCUAAGUUAAAAAACAACAACAACAACAAAAAAAAAACCCACAAAACCCUGAGGCUCAGAAGAUAAAUAUUUGCUGAAGAUCACUGUGCUUAUUAGAAGGGUGUUACUGAUUCUUACCUCAGAGAAGAGAAUGUCAUGGAGACAAAAUGACCUGCUUAGAGUUCUGCGCCCCCCAGCAUGGAGAGCAGAGCGCAAAGAUUUCCUCCAGACUCCCACAUUCUCCCUUGGAAUCCAAGAACUUGUCUACUAUCACAACACUUUAGUACCCACUUCUCCUAAGGAGGCAGCAGAAACCAAGGUAAUCACAAUGGUCAACAGCAGCGAAGGCAGCACUUUCUGAUUUUAAACUUGACUGCUAUGGAUGCCACCUCAGUUUAAU
rnacentral:antisense_RNA from 1 species